GAGGAAGCACUGAGGUUUCUAGGAGACAUC
rnacentral:piRNA from 1 species